GGGGGUAUAGCACAGUGGUAGAGCAUGUGUUUAGCAUGAGCGAGGUCCUAGGUUCAAUCCCCAGUCCCUCCA
rnacentral:tRNA from 1 species